rfam:Gossypium raimondii chromosome 2, whole genome shotgun sequence.
AAUCCAUGCAUUGCGCAUUUGCAAAUUAGUUCUUUAAAUCUUGCCCAGGCUUCAUGCAAUGUUUCAUAUUCUGAUUGUCGAAAAGACGUGAUGUCAUUUCUAAGCUU